rnacentral:lncRNA from 1 species
CCUGCUAGUAAUCGACGACAUUAGGCAAGAGAAACAGCGGCUCCUCAAGUCCUGCCCAAAGACCGUCCAGAAACCCCAGCCUCCCGUCGCCUUCUCGCCGCCUCCGCUGGGAGCCGCAGAUCAGUCCAAGUUGACGGACAGGAGGCGAAAUGUGCAAAUGUUUAUGGUUUCAUCUGUAUGGAAAAGGAGCUCUGGUAACUUUGGCCAAGACUUUUCAGUAGGAAAUGCUUCAAAAUACAAAGCAAGAGCUAUUUUCAAGAAAGACCUUCUAAAUUUAUAUUAGGAUUAAGCGUCUGUAACGUUGCCACUCGUCGCUGAGGCUCCUGGUUUCAGCAUGUCUCCUUGGUUCCCAGCCAGCUCUGGGUGUUCAGGUAGCAGCUGUGGCUGGGAGUGUCUCUCCAGUCCACAUUCCUUGGCCAUGAAUUUUGCAGCCCUGUUUAUCUGAUGAAGACCUCCCAGUAGUGAAUUGCUCAUGACAUUGUCACACAGACCUUAAUGAAUGAUAUGGAAAGAUACUGAAUAUUUUUCCUCCCGGAAUGCCAACCAAGCUUCAGUGUCCCAGCGCCUUCAUUCCAGCUGAUCAUGGCAAAGGCUUGGUACUGAGAUCCAGUGAGACCUUUGUCCUACAAAAACCACAUUCUCACUGGAUGCCUACAAGUCCUCUCUAUGGGACUGUUACCCAAGCCUGUUUACAGAAUUUUCAACAAUUACAUCUGCCCAUUUGCUGAGUCUCACUUCUCUGCACUAAUUGUUGACUUCAAUUUAUAUUUUUAAUGUACAAAUGCUAUCACCAACUUCAGUGCAUGAAGACCUCUCUUUCUUCUCUUCAAACCCAUGACUUUGCUUGGAAUAACAGGGAUGGCUUUAUGGCAUGGCUUUCUCAUUAUUUCAUGUGUCUUCAUUUUGCUUUCCCAAGCCAGAUUGUAAAUUCCUUGAAAGAGGAGACCCUGAAA